UACGUAGGAGACGAGCGUUGUCCGGAGUUACUGGGCGUAAAGGGUGCGCAGGCGGCCUGGCGCGUCGCGAGUGAAAUCUCCCGGCUCAACUGGGAGGGCGGUCGCGAGACGGCGAGGCUUGAGGCGUGGAGAGGGGCGUGGAAUUCCGGGUGGAGCGGUGAAAUGCGUAGAGAUCCGGAGGAACACCGACGGCGUAGGCAGCGCCCUGGACACGACCUGACGCUCAGGCACGAAAGCGCGGGGAGCGAACAGG
rnacentral:rRNA from 1 species